GAACGCGAAGAACCUUACCAGGUCUUGACAUCCCUCUGACCUCUCUAGAGAUAGAGAUUUCCUUCGGGACAGAGGUGACAGGUGGUGCAUGGUUGUCGUCAGCUCGUGUCGUGAGAUGUUGGGUUAAGUCCCGCAACGAGCGCAACCCCUAUUGUUAGUUGCCAUCAUUCAGUUGGGCACUCUAGCGAGACUGCCGGUAAUAAACCGGAGGAAGGUGGGGAUGACGUCAAAUCAUCAUGCCCCUUAUGACCUGGGCUACACACGUGCUACAAUGGCUGGUACAACGAGUCGCAAGCCGGUGACGGCAAGCUAAUCUCUUAAAGCCAGUCUCAGUUCGGAUUGUAGGCUGCAACUCGCCUACAUGAAGUCGGAAUCGCUAGUAAUCGCGGAUCAGCACGCCGCGGUGAAUACGUUCCCGGGUCUUGUACACACC
rnacentral:rRNA from 1 species